GCCGUACUUAGCCCAGCAAAACCCCAACUCAACUAUCAACCCACAUUAAAACAAAACAUUUACCAACUCAUAAUUAAAGUAUAGGAGAUAGAAAUUCUAACUGGCGCUAUAGAGACAGUACCGCAAGGGAACAAUGAAAGAAAACACCAGAGCAAUGAACAGCAAAGAUUACUCCUUAUACCUUUUGCAUAAUGAUUUAACUAGAGCAAUUUGGCAAAGAGAACUUAAGUUAAACCCCCCGAAACCAGACGAGCUAUUCAUGAGCAGUUUAUGGAACGAACUCAUCUAUGUGGCAAAAUAGUGAGACGACUUAUGAAUAGAGGUGACAAGCCUACCGAGCCUGGUGAUAGCUGGUUGUCCAGACAAGAAUCUCAGUUCAAAUUUAAACUUACCUAUAAACCUUACAAAUUCCACUGUAAGUUUAAAGAAUAAUCUAAAAAGGUACAGCUUUUUAGACACAGGAUACAACCUUAAUUGGUGAGUAAGCACAAAACCAAUCCAUAGUAGGCCCAGAAGCAGCCAUCAAUAAAGAAAGCGUUAAAGCUCAACAACACACCAACCUUAAUCCCUACAGUAUAAGCCAACUCCCAAUACAAACACUGGACCACUCCAUAACCAUAUGGAAGAGAUAAUGUUAAUAUGAGUAACAAGAAAUAAUUCUCCCUGCACAAGCAUAUAUCAGAUCGAAUGCUCACUGAUAGUUAACAAGCCACGAAGCAAAUCCAAAAACUAGUUCUUCACCCAACUACUUGUUGACCCAACACAGGAGUGCACCUCAAGGGAAAGAUUAAAACGAAUAAAAGGAACUCGGCAAACACAAACCCCGCCUGUUUACCAAAAACAUCACCUCUAGCAUUACCAGUAUUAGAGGCACUGCCUGCCCAGUGACGUUAGUUCAACGGCCGCGGUAUCCUGACCGUGCAAAGGUAGCAUAAUCACUUGUUCUCUAAAUAAGGACUUGUAUGAAUGGCCACACGAGGGUUUUACUGUCUCUUAUUCGCAAUCAGUGAAAUUGACCUCCCCGUGAAGAGGCGGGGAUACCAAAACAAGACGAGAAGACCCUAUGGAGCUUUAAUUAACUAGCCUAAGAAUAACCAACUUCACCUAAAGGAACAAAAUACUUUCAAAUAGGCUAGCAAUUUCGGUUGGGGUGACCUCGGAGCAUAAAACACCCUCCGAGUGAUUACAAUUCUAGACCUACCGGUCAAAACCAUAUCACUUAUUGAUCCAAAAAUACUUUUGAUCAACGGAACAAGUUACCCUAGGGAUAACAGCGCAAUCCUAUCUUAGAGUCCUUAUCGACGAUUAGGGUUUACGACCUCGAUGUUGGAUCAGGACAUCCCAAUGGUGCAGCAGCUAUUAAUGGUUCGUUUGUUCAACGAUUAAAGUCCUACGUGAUCUGAGUUCAGACCGGAGUAAUCCAGGUCGGUUUCUAUCUGUUUAACGUCUCUCCCAGUACGAAAGGAUAAGAGAGGCAGGGCCAACCUCAAAAAGCGCCCUCGAAAUCAACAGAUGACCUAGUCUCAAUCUGAUACAUCACUAACACCCCUGCCCCAGACCAGGGUUUU
rnacentral:rRNA from 1 species